rnacentral:rRNA from 1 species
GAUGAACGCUGGCGGCGUGCCUAAUACAUGCAAGUCGAGCGAACAGAUAAGGAGCUUGCUCCUUUGACGUUAGCGGCGGACGGGUGAGUAACACGUGGGUAACCUACCUAUAAGACUGGAAUAACUCCGGGAAACCGGGGCUAAUGCCGGAUAACAUUUAGAACCGCAUGGUUCUAAAGUGAAAGAUGGUUUUGCUAUCACUUAUAGAUGGACCCGCGCCGUAUUAGCUAGUUGGUAAGGUAACGGCUUACCAAGGCAACGAUACGUAGCCGACCUGAGAGGGUGAUCGGCCACACUGGAACUGAGACACGGUCCAGACUCCGACGGGAGGCAGCAGUAGGGAAUCUUCCGCAAUGGGCGAAAGCCUGACGGAGCAACGCCGCGUGAGUGAUGAAGGGCUUCGGAUCGUAAAACUCUGUUAUUAGGGAAGAACAAAUGUGUAAGUAACUGUGCACAUCUUGACGGUACCGAAUCAGAAAGCCACGGCGAACUACGU